GCGGGUAUAGCUCAGGUGGUUAGAGCGCCAGAUUGUGGCUCUGGAGGCCACGGGUUCGAGUCCCGUUACUCGCCCCA
rnacentral:tRNA from 1 species